rnacentral:tRNA from 1 species
GGAGACGUCGCAUAGUGGCCAAUUGCAACAGGUUGCUAACCUGUACCGGUUUACCGGUCCGUGGGUUCAAAUCCCACCGUCUCCGCCA